rnacentral:rRNA from 1 species
UACGUAGGGGGCAAGCGUUGUCCGGAAUUAUUGGGCGUAAAGGGCUCGUAGGCGGUUUGUCGCGUCGGGGAGUGAAAACUCAGGGCUUAACCCUGAGCCUGCUUCCGAUACGGGCAGACUAGAGGUAUGCAGGGGAGAACGGAAUUCCUGGUGUAGCGGUGAAAUGCGCAGAUAUCAGGAGGAACACCGGUGGCGAAGGCGGUUCUCUGGGCAUUACCUGACGCUGAGGAGCGAAAGUGUGGGGAGCGAACAGG